AUGGGGCUUCCCCAAUGGAAUUCAUCUCCACUGUCCUCUUCUUUUUUCAUGCAUGCUUUAAUCCUUCUCGGGUGGUGUGGCUUGUUAGUCACCUCUGUUGUUGGCGGGAAUAAUGAGACGAACUGGUUGGCGUUGCUUGAGUUCAAAGCCAAGAUAACUAAUGAUCCUCUCCAGGUUAUGAGGUCUUGGAAUGACAGCAUCCACUUUUGUCAAUGGCGAGGGGUUACUUGUGGUCGUCGACAUCAGAGGGUCAUUGUGUUGGACCUGCGAUCUUCGAAACUGGUAGGCUUCAUAUCACCACAUGUUGGUAAUUUAAGUUUUUUGAAGAAUCUAACACUCUCAAACAACAGCUUUCAUAAUGAAAUUCCUUCAGAAAUUGACCAUUUACGCAGAUUGCAAAUCCUACAUUUGUCCAAUAACACAAUUAGUGGCAAAAUUCCAAGAAAUUUAUCCCAAUGCACCAACCUCAAAUACAUUAAUUUCGGUCGCAACCUUUUGGAUGGGGAAAUCCCUGCAACUCUUGGCACUUUGUCAGAACUCCGAUUUGUUUCUUUUGUAGUAAAUAAUUUGACAAGAAGUAUCCCACCUUCUAUUGGAAACUUAUCCUCUCUAGAAGUGUUUGCUACAGCUUAUAAUAACUUGGGGGGGGGGGGGGGGGGGGGGAGUAUCCCUACUUCUUUUGGCCAAUUGCCGAAACUUACACUUUUUGGUGUCGGUUCAAAUAGGUUGUCAGGAAGAAUUCCUCCCUCAAUCUUCAAUUUGUCUUCAUUACAAACAUUUGAUGUAACAUCCAACCAAAUCCAAGGGCACCUUCCGGCGAACAUAGGUAUCACCCUACCAAAUAUUGAAUUAUUAAGCAUUGCCAUCAACCAAUUUAUUGGACCUAUCCCUAUUUCCAUAUCUAAUGCCUCAAAUCUGAAAGUACUUGAAUUUACCGGAAAUAAACUAAGAGGAAGUGUUCCUUCUUUGGAGAAGUUACAUAGAGUUUCAUUUUUUGUCAUGGCUCAUAACAAGCUUGUAAAUGAAGGAGCAAAUGACUUGAGAUUUCUAUGUUCUUUGACAAAUGCCACAUAUCUGACCACAUUGGAGAUAAAUUUCAAUAAUUUCGGAGGAGAGUUGCCGGAGUGCAUAUUCAUUUUCACAACAACUCUCAUCAAAUUUAUUCUAAAUAAUAAUAAAAUAUCUGGAAACGUUCCUAUUGGAAUAGGAAAUUUGACGAAUUUGGAGUCACUAGAUAUGUGGAACAAUAAAUUAUCAGGUCAUACUCCUUUCGAAAUUGGAAAGCUUCAUAAGUUACAAUAUUUGGAUUUAUCUGCAAACAAUUUCUUUGGGAACAUUCCAUCUUCUCUUGGAAAUUUAACUAUUUUGAUAACUUUGUAUUUAGACGAUAAUAAUCUUCAAGGAAGCAUCCCCUUAAGUCUAGGAAAGUGUGAAAAUGUGAUUGAAUUGAGUCUUGCUAAAAACAAUCUCAAUGGUACCAUAUCAUAUCAAGUAAUUGGUCUCUCAUUUUCACCAAUUUCUCUAGACUUGUCAGCCAACAAAUUUACUGGUGCCCUUCCUACAGAAUUAGGAAAUUUAAAAAAUUUAGAAUACUUGGAUAUUUCUGAAAACAUGUUGUUUGGAAAAAUUCCAACAAGUCUUGGUAGCUGUGUAAAACUAGAAUCUCUAGUCAUGAGAAGCAACUUCUUUCAAGGGGUCAUUCCUUCAUCUUUGGAAUCAUUAAGGGGCCUUCAACUUUUAGAUCUUUCUAAAAACAAUUUCUCUGGCAAUAUUCCAAAAUUUUUGGAGAGCUUUAUCUUCUUGAAGUUAUUGAAUUUGUCUUAUAACAAUUUUGAAGGGGGAGUACCAACAAAUGGAGUUUUCAAGAACAUAAGUGCAACCGUGGUUAAGGGAAACAGUAAGUUAUGUGGAGGCAUGCCAAAGUUUGAUCUUCCUAUCUGUAAAUACAAUAAACCCAAGAAGAGGAAGUUGACUCUUUCCUUGAAGCUAAUAAUCUCUUUACUUUCUGGCUUUUUUGGAAUAACUUUGGUGAUUUCGUUUCUACUUCUCUUCUCUUUUAAAAGAAAGAGGAGGGAAAGUAUUUUAAAUAAUUCACAAAAUUUAUUUUUGAAUGUAUCUUACCAAAGUCUCCUAAAAGCUACAAAUGCAUUUUCCUCCACUAAUUUAAUUGGUGUGGGAAGCUUUGGAUCUGUGUAUAGAGGAAUUCUUGGUCAUGAUAGAUGUAUAGUUGCUGUCAAGGUGCUCAACCUUUUGCACCAUGGAGCUUCCAAAAGUUUUAUUGCUGAAUGUGAGGCUUUGCGAAACAUCAGACAUCGGAAUUUGGUAAGGGUACUCAUACUAUGUUCAGGUGUUGACUAUCAAGGUCAUGAUUUCAAAGCAUUAGUAUACGAGUUCAUGACUAAUGGCAGCUUAGACGAGUGGUUGCAUCCGAUUUCAAGAAUAAAUGAGGUUCUUGAGGAACAAAAGAAUUUGAAUCUUCUUCAAAGAUUGAAUAUUGCUAUUGAUGUUGCAAAUGCAUUGGAAUAUCUUCAUCAUCGUUGCCAUUCACCAAUUGUUCAUUGUGACCUCAAGCCUAGCAAUGUUCUUCUUGAUGAUGAAAUGAUUGGACAUGUUGGCGAUUUUGGCUUAGCAAGGUUCCUUCGUGAGGCCACCCAAGAGUGUUUCACUAAUCAAUCAAGCUCUAUCGAAUUAAAAGGAACAGUUGGUUAUGCUCCUCCAGAAUAUGGUAUGGGAAAUGAGGUGUCAACUUUUGGUGAUGUCUACAGUUAUGGUAUAUUAUUAUUGGAGAUGUUCACAAGAAAAAGGCCCAUUGAUAACAUUUUCAAAGACGACUUGAACCUUCAUGAUUUCGUUAGAGGAGCUUUGCCUGAACGAGUGAUUAACAUUGUGGAUCCUACUAUUCUUUUGGAAAGAGAAGAUAUGGAAACAAGGACAAAUGACACUCACAUUCAAAAUCAAAUAGGAUUUCCCAAAAUUUUGGAGUGCUUGAUUUUGAUAUUUGGAAUUGGAGUUUCUUGUUCUAUGGAAUCUCCAAGAGAAAGGAUGAACAUUAGUGAUGUUGUAGCUUAAUUGCAUUUGAUUAGAGACAAGCUCCUCAGAACAAGAAGACGCCGAGAAAGACUUCAACUUGCAGAUUUUCUCAGUAACCAAACAGUGGAGGCCACGCAAAAUGACGAAAAUUCCCUUUCACAAUCACAAACACAACCACAAACUCUCUUGAAGAACGCUCAGAAGAAGCUGCUGAAGCAGCAGAGGUACGAAGCGAAGAAGGCGGAGAAGAAAGCGCACAGAUGUAGUGUAUCAGCAUCAUCUCCAGUGAAGCUGGUUUUAAUCGGACCCUUUAAUGGGUCGGGCAAUCGGGCCAGCUGGAGACUUGAACCUGAAAGUCACGGCAUCGUAAACGCACCUGUGAAACCCAACCUCUCUUCUAUUGCACUCUUCGCACACAAUGACGCCGUUUCGAACAGCGGCGUUGCCGUUUACGAAAACGGCGCCGUUUUCUCGAUUCCCCAAACACAGACGGGUCAGGCCCAUGUUCGCCAACUACUUCUCCCUUUCGAUCAGCAACUCCCUGAUCCGAUUCUCGUACUCGACCUGAUCCACGAUCGGCGAGAAGGCGAUUUGGCUCUCAAUCCCGGCGUUGCAUCGGAGAAGCAUAAUAGAAAAUGA